rnacentral:rRNA from 1 species
GCGCAGCAGGCGCGAAACUUCACAAUGUGCGAAAGCACGAUGAGGGAAUCCCAAGUGCUUGCACGUAAGUGUAAGCUGUUUCUCUGUCUAAAACGCAGAGAGAGUAAGGGCUGGGUAAGACGGGUGCCAGCCGCCGCGGUAAUACCUGCAGCUCGAGUGGUGACCGUUAUUAUUGGGCCUAAAACGUCCGUAGCCGGUUUAAUAAAUGCCUGGGUAAAUCGGACCGCUUAACGGUUCGAAUUCCGGGUAGACUGUUAAACUUGAGACCGGGAGAAGUUAGAGGUACUCCUGGGGUAGAGGUGAAAUUCUGUAAUCCUAGGGGACCACCAGUGGCGAAGGCGUCUAACUAGAACGGGUCUGACGGUGAGGGACGAAGCCCUGGGGCGCAAAC